rnacentral:lncRNA from 1 species
CAUCAUGUGGUUCCCUCGGUAGUGCUGUCUGUGCCUUCCGCAACAGUGCCUCCGCAAAAUCUCAUUUUGUCUGUGGCUCGCAGCCACCACCUCAACCAAAGCUGUAGAUGCCUCCUCGAAGUUCGAAGAGGAGAUUAACUCAUCAAAGUUGUCUUAGGGUACAACAGCUAGUCAGGCGGUGAUCUCCAAGCCCACAGUCGGGCUGUGACUCGACCCCC